UACGUAGGGUGCUAGCGUUAAUCGGAAUUACUGGGCGUAAAGCGUGCGCAGGCGGUCUUGCAAGACAGAGGUGAAAUCCCCGGGCUCAACCUGGGAACUGCCUUUGUGACUGCAAGGCUAGAGUACGGCAGAGGGGGAUGGAAUUCCGCGUGUAGCAGUGAAAUGCGUAGAUAUGCGGAGGAACACCGAUGGCGAAGGCAAUCCCCUGGGCCUGUACUGACGCUCAUGCACGAAAGCGUGGGGAGCAAACAGG
rnacentral:rRNA from 1 species